rnacentral:lncRNA from 1 species
UAUCCUCUAAAAGUUCAUCUUCAACCUCUAAAAUAGUUUUAAAAAUUUAAAGAGAAGAUCUAGAUCAGCCAAGAAGAAUGUCUUCGCACGAGCUAGCACUACCAAGAAGAUCGAUUAGAUCGGAGCUUCGAGUGGAUUUCUCAUAGAGGCCAGAUGCGUGUGUGGCUAUGAGCAACUAGCAAAGAUCCUCUCUACCAUAUCUCUCAAUAGUGGUGAUCAUCGACCCA